ACUGCUCAGUAACACGUGGCUAAUCUGCCCUUAGGACGAGAACAACCCCGGGAAACUGGGGCUAACUCUUGAUAGGUGAAGAACUCUGGAAUGAGUCUUUGCCUAAAUAGAUUCACGUUAUCCUCGUGAACCUGCCUAAGGAUGAGGCCGCGACCGAUCAGGUUGUUGGCGAGGUAAUGGCUCACCAAGCCUUUUACCGGUGCGGGCCGUGGGAGCGGGAGCCCGGAGAUGGGUACUGAGACAAGGACCCAGGCCCUACGGGGCGCAGCAGUCGCGAAACCUUUGCAAUACACGAAAGUGUGACAGGGCUAUCCCGAGUGCCAUCCGCUGAGGAAGGCUUUUACCCAGUCUAGAACGCUGGGGGAAUAAGGAGAGGGCAAGUCUGGUGUCAGCCGCCGCGGUAAUACCAGCUCUCCGAGUGGUGUGGAUGUUUAUUGGGCCUAAAGCAUCCGUAGCUGGCUAGGUAAGUCCCUUGUUAAAUCCACCGAAUUAAUCGUUGGAUCGCGGGGGAUACUACUUGGCUAGGGGACGAGAGAGGCAGACGGUAUUUUCGGGGUAGGGGUGAAAUCCUAUAAUCCCGGGAAGACCACCAGUGGCGAAGGCUGUCUGCUAGAACGCGCCCGACGGUGAGGGAUGAAAGCUGGGGGAGCGAACCGGAUUAGAUACCCGGGUAGUCCCAGCUGUAAACGAUGCAGACUAGGUGUUUGGACGGCCACGUGCCGUUCUAGUGCCGCAGGGAAGCUGUUAAGUCUGCCGCCUGGGGAGUACGAUCGCAAGAUUGAAACUUAAAGGAAUUGGCGGGGGAGCAC
rnacentral:rRNA from 1 species